rnacentral:snRNA from 1 species
CUGUCUUCAGUAGCAGAUAUACUAAAAUUGGAAUGAUACAGAGAUUAGCAUGGCCCCUGCACAAGGAUGACACAAAUUCGUGAAGCGUUCCAUAUUUUU